UACAGAGGGUGCGAGCGUUAAUCGGAAUUACUGGGCGUAAAGCGUGCGUAGACGGCUAUCUAAGUCAGGUGUGAAAGCCCCGGGCUCAACCUGGGAAUUGCAUUCGAGACUGAAUAGCUAGGGUACGGUAGAGGGAAGCGGAAUUUCCGGUGUAGCGGUGAAAUGCGUAGAUAUCGGAAGGAACAUCAGUGGCGAAAGCGGCUUCCUGGACCAGUACCGACGUUCAGGCACGAAAGCGUGGGGAGCAAACAGG
rnacentral:rRNA from 1 species